CCUUACGGCCAUAUCACGUUGAAAGCACCGGUUCUCGUCCGAUCACCGAAGUUAAGCAACAUCGAGCCUAGUUAGUACUUAGAUGGGUGACCGCUUGGGAAACCUAGGUGCUGUAAGCA
rnacentral:rRNA from 1 species